rnacentral:rRNA from 1 species
GACGAACGCUGGCGGCGUGCUUAACACAUGCAAGUCGAACGGAAAGGCCCUGCUUUUGUGGGGUGCUCGAGUGGCGAACGGGUGAGUAACACGUGAGUAACCUGCCCUUGACUUUGGGAUAACUUCAGGAAACUGGGGCUAAUACCGGAUAGGAGCUCCUGCUGCAUGGUGGGGGUUGGAAAGUUUCGGCGGUUGGGGAUGGACUCGCGGCUUAUCAGCUUGUUGGUGGGGUAGUGGCUUACCAAGGCUUUGACGGGUAGCCGGCCUGAGAGGGUGACCGGCCACAGUGGGACUGAGAUACGGCCCAGACUGCUACGGGAGGCAGCAGGAGGGAAUAUUGCACAAUGGGGGGAAGCCGGAUGCAGCAGCGCCGCGUGCGGGAUGACGGCCUUCGGGUUGUAAACCGCUUUCGCCUGUGACGAAGCGUGAGUGACGGUAAUGGGUAAAGAAGCACCGGCUAACUACGUG